AGUGAACGCUGGCGGUAGGCCUAACACAUGCAGGUCGAACGGCAGCACAGUAAGAGCUUGCUCUUACGGGUGGCGAGUGGCGGACGGGUGAGGAAUACAUCGGAAUCUACUUUUUCGUGGGGGAUAACGUAGGGAAACUUACGCUAAUACCGCAUACGACCUACGGGUGAAAGCAGGGGAUCUUCGGACCUUGCGCGAUUGAAUGAGCCGAUGUCGGAUUAGCUAAUUGGCGGGGUAAAGGCCCACCAAGGCGACGAUCCGUAGCUGGUCUGAGAGGAUGAUCAGCCACACUGGAACUGAGACACGGUCCAGACUCCUACGGGAGGCAGCAGUGGGGAAUAUUGGACAAUGGGCGCAAGCCUGAUCCAGCCAUACCGCGUGGGUGAAGAAGGCCUUCGGGUUGUAAAGCCCUUUUGUUGGGAAAGAAAAGCAGCAGGUUAAUACCCCGCUGUUCUGACGGUACCCAAAGAAUAAGCACCGGCUAACUUCGUG
rnacentral:rRNA from 1 species